CCUACGGGAGGCUGCAGUGGGGAAUAUUGCACAAUGGGCGCAAGCCUGAUGCAGCCAUGCCGCGUGUGUGAAGAAGGCCUUCGGGUUGUAAAGCACUUUCAGCGGGGAGGAAGGCGGUGAGGUUAAUAACCUCAUCGAUUGACGUUACCCGCAGAAGAAGCACCGGCUAACUCCGUGCCAGCAGCCGCGGUAAUACGGAGGGUGCAAGCGUUAAUCGGAAUUACUGGGCGUAAAGCGCACGCAGGCGGUCUGUCAAGUCGGAUGUGAAAUCCCCGGGCUCAACCUGGGAACUGCAAUCGAAACUGGCAGGCUAGAGUCUUGUAGAGGGGGGUAGAAUUCCAGGUGUAGCGGUGAAAUGCGUAGAGAUCUGGAGGAAUACCGGCGGCGAAGGCGGCCCCCUGGACAAAGACUGACGCUCAGGUGCGAAAGCGUGGGGAGCAAACAGGAUUAGAUACCCGGGUAGUC
rnacentral:rRNA from 1 species